rnacentral:rRNA from 1 species
AGUGAACGCUGGCGGCAGGCCUAACACAUGCAAGUCGAACGGCAGCACAGGAGAGCUUGCUCUCUGGGUGGCGAGUGGCGGACGGGUGAGGAUAGCGUCGGAAUCUGCCUUUUUGUGGGGGAUAACGUAGGGAAACUUACGCUAAUACCGCAUACGACCUACGGGUGAAAGUGGGGGACCUUCGGGCCUCACGCAGAAAGAUGAGCCGACGUCGGAUUAGCUAGUUGGUGGGGUAAAGGCCCACCAAGGCGACGAUCCGUAGCUGGUYUGAGAGGAUGAUCAGCCACACUGGGACUGAGACACGGCCCAGACUCCUACGGGAGGCAGCAGUGGGGAAUAUUGGACAAUGGGCGCAAGCCUGAUCCAGCCAUGCCGCGUGUGUGAAGAAGGCCUUCGGGUUGUAAAGCACUUUUGUACGGGAAGAAAAGCGCCGGAUUAAUACUUUGGCGUCAUGACGGUACCGUAAG